rnacentral:lncRNA from 1 species
AGAUCUUCACCUGUUCAACAAUUCUACCCCAUGUCAGAUUUGCUCUAAAUGAUUUGGUUUUUGAGUUAUAAGCCAAAAACUGCAUUUUACCCCUAUGUUCUAUUUUUAGCCAUGGCGGCCAUCUUGGAUGGUUGGCCGGGUCACCGGACACAUUUUUUAAACUAGAUACCCCAAUGAUGAUUGUGGCCAAGUUUGCUUUAAUUUGGC